GGCACCAUAGCCAAGGGGUAAGGCAGAGGUCUGCAAAACCUUUAUCCCCAGUUCGAAUCUGGGUGGUGCCUCCA
rnacentral:tRNA from 1 species